GGGGUUGUGGCUCAGAGGUAGAGCGCUCGUCUGGCAUGCGUGAGGAACUGGGUUCCAUCCUCAGCACCA
rnacentral:tRNA from 1 species